rnacentral:lncRNA from 1 species
AUCUCUCCUGUGAAACGGUUAUUGUUCAAGAAAAGAGACUCUGCUCCGGCGAGGGAAGGAGGUAACUCGCCGGAGAUAGAGUUAUGGCUCAGAUCAACGACGGAGCCCUGAGGUAACAUUAACAGUGACGUGGCGUUGAUGGAUGUGAAGUUGUUUCGUUGUAGGAACAUUGAUGUGGUUGUGGAGCCAAAGAGUGAUUGCGGGAUCGCUCCGGUGAACCGGUUCAUGCUGAGAUCGAUGUACGUUAGGUCUGUGAGUGGCUCCAAGGGGAUGAUUUCGCCGGAGAUUGAGUUUCCGGCGAGGGAUAAGUACCGGAGAGUGGUGGGGAAAAGAGGUGGGAGUUGGCCGGAGAUUUGGUUCAUCUUUAGGUCUAAGUGAAGCAAAGGGCUAGAGACAGGUUUAACGUUGUCGGAGAAACGGUUCGAGGCUAAGACAAGGACUUUGAGAUGAGGAAGUGUGGUUAGAAACGGAGGGAGAGAGCCUGAGAGUUGGUUAUAGCUGAGGUCAAGAGUGUGGAGGUACGAGAGAGAUGAGAAAGAGUUUGGUAUAGGACCGGUUAAGCGGUUUCUGGUUAAGGAAAUGACUCGAAGGAGAGGGAGGGUAUCGAACCGAGGAGGGAGAGGUCCGGUGACUAAACCGGGGUAGAGAACGAGUUGGGUCAAAUGGGUUAGGUUGGAGAUGGAAGGAGAUAGUGAACCGGAGAGGUUAGGGCCGAGAGAUAAGGCGGAGACACGGCCGAGGGAACUGCAAGUGAGGCCUGAGAAGGUGGAGCUCCACGGGAAUCUCGUUAAGUAGUUAUGUUGCAAGAAGAGCGUUUUCGUCGUACCGUUGACCAAGCUCUUGAUGUACUCCUCUGGAAUCUCUCCUGUGAAACGGUUAUUGUUCAAGAAAAGAGACUCUGCUCCGGCGAGGGAAGGAGGUAACUCGCCGGAGAUAGAGUUAUGGCUCAGAUCAACGACGGAGCCCUGAGGUAACAUUAACAGUGACGUGGCGUUGAUGGAUGUGAAGUUGUUUCGUUGUAGGAACAUUGAUGUGGUUGUGGAACCAAAGAGAGAUUGCGGGAUUGCGCCGGUGAACCGGUUCAUGCUGAGAUCGAUGUACGUUAGGUCUGUGAGUGGCUCCAAGGGGUUGAUUGUGCCGGAGAUUGAGUUUCCGGCGAGGGAUAAGUACUGGAGAGUGGUGGGGAAAAGAGGCGGGAGUUGGCCGGAGAUUUGGUUCAUCUUUAGGUCUAAGUGAAGCAAAGGGCUAGAGACAGGUUUAACGUUGUCGGAGAAACGGUUCGAGGCUAAGACAAGGACUUUGAGACGAGGAAGUGUGGUGAGAAACGGAGGGAGAGAGCCUGAGAGUUGGUUAUAGCUGAGGUCAAGAGUGUGGAGGUAUGAGAGAGAUGAGAAAGAGUUUGGUAUAGGACCGGUUAAGCGGUUUCUGGUUAAGGAAAUGACUCGAAGGAGAGGGAGGGUAUCGAACCGAGGAGGGAGAGGUCCGGUGACUAAACCGGGGUAGAGAACGAGUUGGGUCAAAUGGGUUAGGUUGGAGAUGGAUGGGGAUAGUGAACCGGAGAGGUUAGGGCCGAGUGAUAAGGCGGAGACACGGCCGAGGGAAGUGCAAGUUAGGCCUGCGAAGGUGGAGCAAGGGUCAGGGGUUGUGAAGUCCCAAGUUGAGAAGAAGGCUGAACCGGGCAUGUCGGUUAAGGAGUCUCUUAUGGAUUCAAGAGCAACGUGGCGUUGAUGGAUGUGAAGUUGUUUCGUUGUAGGAACAUUGAUGUGGUUGUGGAGCCAAAGAGUGAUUGCGGGAUCGCUCCGGUGAACCGGUUCAUGCUGAGAUCGAUGUACGUUAGGUCUGUGAGUGGCUCCAAGGGGAUGAUUUCGCCGGAGAUUGAGUUUCCGGCGAGGGAUAAGUACCGGAGAGUGGUGGGGAAAAGAGGUGGGAGUUGGCCGGAGAUUUGGUUCAUCUUUAGGUCUAAGUGAAGCAAAGGGCUAGAGACAGGUUUAACGUUGUCGGAGAAACGGUUCGAGGCUAAGACAAGGACUUUGAGAUGAGGAAGUGUGGUUAGAAACGGAGGGAGAGAGCCUGAGAGUUGGUUAUAGCUGAGGUCAAGAGUGUGGAGGUACGAGAGAGAUGAGAAAGAGUUUGGUAUAGGACCGGUUAAGCGGUUUCUGGUUAAGGAAAUGACUCGAAGGAGAGGGAGGGUAUCGAACCGAGGAGGGAGAGGUCCGGUGACUAAACCGGGGUAGAGAACGAGUUGGGUCAAAUGGGUUAGGUUGGAGAUGGAAGGAGAUAGUGAACCGGAGAGGUUAGGGCCGAGAGAUAAGGCGGAGACACGGCCGAGGGAACUGCAAGUGAGGCCUGAGAAG